AUUACUUUUCCGAUUAUCGUCCACUUUGGGAUACGCCCUGCACAGUUGAGUUAUGCAGGAGACCCACAUAUGAAGCAGUGAACCAGGCACUGUGUACCAAAAACUGUGGAAGAGUUAUGUGAAACUUCGCCACCUCCUAGCAAAUAGUCCCAAAGUCAAACAAACUGACAAACAGAAGCUGGCACAGAGGGAGGAAGCCCUCCAAAAAAUACGGCAGAAGAAUACAAUGAGACGAGAAGUAACGGUGGAGCUAAGUAGCCAAGGAUUCUGGAAAACUGGCAUCCGUUCUGAUGUCUGUCAGCAUGCAAUGAUGCUACCUGUUCUGACCCAUCAUAUCCGCUACCACCAAUGCCUAAUGCAUUUGGACAAGUUGAUAGGAUAUACUUUCCAAGAUCGUUGUCUGUUGCAGCUGGCCAUGACUCAUCCAAGUCAUCAUUUAAAUUUUGGAAUGAAUCCUGAUCAUGCCAGGAAUUCGUUGUCUAACUGUGGAAUUCGGCAGCCCAAAUACGGAGACAGAAAAGUUCAUCACAUGCACAUGCGGAAGAAAGGUAU
rnacentral:sRNA from 1 species